rnacentral:rRNA from 1 species
GACCUCGGAUCAGGUAGGGAUACCCGCUGAACUUAAGCAUAUCAAUAAGCGGAGGAAAAGAAACCAACAGGGAUUGCCCUAGUAACGGCGAGUGAAGCGGCAACAGCUCAAAUUUGAAAUCUGGCUCUUUUAGAGUCCGAGUUGUAAUUUGCAGAGGGCGCUUUGGCUUUGGCAGCGGUCCAAGUUCCUUGGAACAGGACGUCACAGAGGGUGAGAAUCCCGUACGUGGUCGCUGGCUAUUGCCGUGUAAAGCCCCUUCGACGAGUCGAGUUGUUUGGGAAUGCAGCUCUAAAUGGGAGGUACAUUUCUUCUAAAGCUAAAUAUUGGCCAGAGACCGAUAGCGCACAAGUAUAGUGAUCGAAAGAUGAAAAGCACUUUGGAAAGAGAGUCAAACAGCACGUGAAAUUGUUGAAAGGGAAGCGCUUGCAACCAGACUUGCUUACUGUUGCUCAUCCGGGUUUCUACCCGGUGCACUCUUCUGUAGGCAGGCCAGCAUCAUUUU